rnacentral:rRNA from 1 species
UACGGAGGGUGCGAGCGUUAUCCGGAAUUACUGGGUUUAAAGGGUGCGUAGGCGGCUUGGUAAGUCAGGUGUGAAAGUUUGCGGCUCAACCGUAAAAUUGCUUUUGAUACUGCCAGGCUAGAAUCAGGAUGAGGUCAGCGGAAUGUGGCAUGUAGCGGUGAAAUGCAUAGAUAUGCCAUAGAACACCUAUUGCGAAGGCAGCUGGCUAGACCUGUAUUGACGCUGAGGCACGAAAGCGUGGGGAGCGAACAGG